rnacentral:rRNA from 1 species
GACGUAGGGGGCGAGCGUUGUCCGGAUUUACUGGGCGUAAAGCGCGUGCAGGCGGUCCGCUAAGUCCCGUGUUAAAUCCUCCGGCUCAACCGGAGAACGCCGCGGGAUACUGACGGGCUUGAGGUCGGUAGAGGGUGAUGGAAUUCCCGGUGUAGCGGUGAAAUGCGUAGAUAUCGGGAGGAACGCCAGUGGCGAAGGCGAUCACCUGGGCCGUACCUGACGCUGAGAUGCGAAAGCUGGGGGAGCAAACGGG